UCCGGUGUGGUCUAGUGGCUAGGAUUUGUCGCUCUCACCGACAAGGCCGGGGUUCGAUUCCCCGCACCGGAA
rnacentral:tRNA from 1 species